UGCCCAGCAACUCCUAUCCCUACCCCCUCGCGGUACUGGCUGGGGUACGAGUAACCUUAGGGAAGAUCGGGUAACCAACCCCCGGUGGGAACUUUGGUCGUAUGCUGACAGGGAAGG
rfam:Aedes aegypti strain Liverpool supercont1.903 genomic scaffold, whole genome shotgun sequence.